ACUCAAAUGAAUUGACGGGGACCCGCACAAGCGGUGGAGCAUGUGGUUUAAUUCGAGGCAACGCGAAGAACCUUACCAGGCCUUGACAUGGUUAGUAUGGUCGGCAGAGAUGCCUUCCUUCAGUUCGGCUGGCUAACACACAGGUGCUGCAUGGCUGUCGUCAGCUCGUGUCGUGAGAUGUUGGGUUAAGUCCCGCAACGAGCGCAACCCUCAUCCUUUGUUGCUAACAGGUAAUGCUGAGAACUCUAAGGAAACCGCCGGCGUUAAGCCGGAGGAAGGUGGGGACGACGUCAAGUCAUCAUGGCCCUUACGGCCUGGGCUACACACGUGCUACAAUGGCAGUGACAGAGGGAAGCCAACCAGCAAUGGUGCGCAAAUCUCAAAAAGCUGCCUCAGUUCAGAUUGUCCUCUGCAACUCGAGGGCAUGAAGUCGGAAUCGCUAGUAAUCGCGUAUCAGCAUGACGCGGUGAAUCCGUUCCCGGGUCUUGUACACACCGCCCGU
rnacentral:rRNA from 1 species